GACGAACGCUGGCGGCGUGCCUAAUACAUGCAAGUAGAACGCUGAAGGAGGAGCUUGCUUCUCUGGAUGAGUUGCGAACGGGUGAGUAACGCGUAGGUAACCUGCCUGGUAGCGGGGGAUAACUAUUGGAAACGAUAGCUAAUACCGCAUAAGAGUAGAUGUCGCAUGACAUUUGCUUAAAAGGUGCAAUUGCAUCACUACCAGAUGGACCUGCGUUGUAUUAGCUAGUUGGUGAGGUAACGGCUCACCAAGGCAACGAUACAUAGCCGACCUGAGAGGGUGAUCGGCCACACUGGGACUGAGACACGGCCCAGACUCCUACGGGAGGCAGCAGUAGGGAAUCUUCGGCAAUGGACGGAAGUCUGACCGAGCAACGCCGCGUGAGUGAAGAAGGGUUUCGGAUCGUAAAGCUCUGUUGUAAGAGAAGAACGAGUGUGAGAGUGGAAAGUUCACACUGUGACGGUACCUUACCAGAAAGGGACGGCUAACUACGUG
rnacentral:rRNA from 1 species